rnacentral:rRNA from 1 species
UACGGGGGGGGCAAGCGUUGUUCGGAAUUACUGGGCGUAAAGGGCUCGUAGGCGGCCAACUAAGUCAGACGUGAAAUCCCUCGGCUUAACCGGGGAACCGCGUCUGAUACUGGAUGGCUUGAGAUUGGGAGAGGGAUGCGGAAUUCCAGGUGUAGCGGUGAAAUGCGUAGAUAUCUGGAGGAACACCGGUGGCGAAGGCGGCAUCCUGGACCAACACUGACACUGAGGAGCGAAAGCCAGGGGAGCAAACGGG